rnacentral:lncRNA from 1 species
CCUACUAUGUGGGAAUUAUACUGGGUUGUUGUUAUUGUUGUUGUUGUCAUGUAAGGCUAUUAUUCAUUUUAUUUAUGUUUGAGUUGUUCAAACGCGGAAGACAUAUAGGAAGCGCACAGGUGAGUUCUUCCUCUUCCUUUCUGCUCGCUUUUUUUCUUGAGUUCUGUAAUUCUUGCCUACACUAGAAAGCAAGAUCCUUGGGGAUGAGAAUUCCUAAACAGAUGAAAUUUAUUAUUUGUGUAAAAGUUAGAGAAGUUUGCUAAAUGUGUCAUAUUCCAGCAUCUGUUCUUAAUGUUGCUUAAUAUGUGUAAAUUAGACAACAUGCCCAUGGAAUUAAC